GUACUCUUUUCUUACAUAGUCACUUAUGUUCUCCUAACUCAAAUACUUACUUAAGCGUCAUAAUCCUUUGUUUCGCAGGUACCCCCUUCUGUCCUUUUAACAAAGGCUACCCUCAAUUCAACAAAUGAAGUCCAAAAGCCCACCUUAGCCACAUCCACCCUAAUAUGUGCCGGCUCCAGAUUUUGGUAAGUUCAGUUGCGUUCAACAUUAAAAAAAGUCUAACUAAGACUUUUUGCGGUUAAAAGUCGCCAGUAAUUGUUUU
rnacentral:lncRNA from 1 species